GCCAGACUCCUACGGGAGGCAGCAGUGGGGGAUAUCGCACAAUGGGGGAAACCCUGAUGCAGCGACGCCGCGUGUGGGAAGACGGUCCUCUGGAUUGUAAACCACUGUCCCCAGGGACGAAGAUGACGGUACCUGGGGAGGAAGCUCCGGCUAACUACGUGCCAGCAGCCGCGGUAAUACGUAGGGGGCAAGCGUUAUCCGGAUUUACUGGGUGUAAAGGGGGCGCAGACGGCGAUGCAAGCCAGGAGUGAAGGCCCGGGGCCCAACCCCGGGACUGCUCUUGGAACUGCGUGGCUGGAGUGCAGGAGGGGCAGGCGGAAUUCCUGGUGUAGCGGUGAAAUGCGUAGAUAUCAGGAGGAACACCGGUGGCGAAGGCGGCCUGCUGGACUGCAACUGACGUUGAGGCCCGAAAGCGUGGGGAGCAAACAGGAUUAGAUACCCGUGUAC
rnacentral:rRNA from 1 species